rnacentral:rRNA from 1 species
ACGCUCGACACCUACGGGGGGCAGCAGUGGGGAAUAUUGCACAAUGGGGGAAACCCUGAUGCAGCGACGCCGCGUGAGCGAAGAAGUAUUUCGGUAUGUAAAGCUCUAUCAGCAGGGAAGAAAGUGACGGUACCUGACUAAGAAGCCCCGGCUAACUACGNGCCAGCAGCCGCGGUAAUCUGAGCGGGCUGGCAAGGC